rnacentral:rRNA from 1 species
UACGUAGGGUGCGAGCGUUAAUCGGAAUUACUGGGCGUAAAGCGUGCGCAGGCGGUUAUGUAGGACAGGGGUGAAAUCCCCGGGCUUAACCUGGGAACUGCAUUUGUGACUGCAUAGCUAGAGUACGGUAGAGGGGGAUGGAAUUCCGCGUGUAGCAGUGAAAUGCGUAGAUAUGCGGAGGAACACCGAUGGCGAAGGCAAUCCCCUGGACCUGUACUGACGCUCAUGCACGAAAGCGUGGGGAGCAAACAGG